rnacentral:snRNA from 1 species
AGCUUUGCGCGCUAGCAGUAUCGUAGCCAAUGAAGUUUAUCCGAGGCGCGAUUAUUGCUAAAAGAAACGUGAAAAGGACAUUUGUUUGCAACAUGAGAGCUCAAACAAGAAGGCAGGGUGUUAAUAACUUUGACCUCAGCUGGG